rnacentral:lncRNA from 1 species
UUAAUGCCAGAUGCAUUAAAUUAAUUAAAUCCUUUCUGAAUCAAUCUGCGUUAUAAUGACUAUAGUCGUGUGGUUGGAAUCUCUUAAAACAAUGUUUUAUCAAGGUGCCUUCAGUACAGCAAGGCAAGUGUUUCAUCUUCAUUUUUAUUCUGAAAAGUUAUGAGGAGGAGGAGUUCUUCAACCGGUUGGUUUGUUUUCCCUGUUUUCGAGUCAGACUUUCUGCUGUAUAUUUAUUGCUGCCAGGCUUUUCCCAGUACCUUCUGUUCCGCCUGAACGCGGAGGCAGUGAUGAUGGGAGAGGUACUGGAUUAUGCUGUGUCAUGUCGCCGCGGGCUUUCUGCAUGACAGAAGAUCUUUAAAAUCAUUUAAAGGGCAUCCUGGCCCAAAACAAGGUCAACCACACAUGUAUUAGGACUCCAUGGAGAUAUUUCUUCUGGCGCUGAUCACGUCUGUUCGUGAAAUUGGAUAAUCUCUCCGGUGAUGUCCCAGAGAAGGAUCGCUCUGCUAGCCUGGUUUAGGAGGUCUUACAGAUGCCUGGCAAUACUUYUGAYUUCUAUACACUGCCAGAUUUGCGUGAAGAUUGAAAAUAACCCCUCAGCACUCCCUUUAGGUACUACAUAAACUUGAUCUGCAACAUAGCCCAGGAGGCACUUACCAAGCAGUCUGCAGCCCGGGAUAUAUGACUUUUGCCAUUCCUAGCAAAAACCGCAGGUAUGUGCCACCAGCAGAUGUCCCAUGGGCAUGCUGGGG